UUCCGGUUGAUCCUGCCGGAGGCCAUUGCUAUCGGAGUCCGAUUUAGCCAUGCUAGUCGUGCGAGUUCAGACUCGCGGCACCGAGCUCAGUAACACGUGGCCAAACUACCCUACAGAGACGGAUACCCUCGGGAAACUGAGGUUAACCCGUCAUACCGAUCUCAGGCUUGAAUCGCAGAGAUCACAAAACGCCCCGGCGCUGUAGGAUGUGGCUGCGGUUGAUUAGGUAGACGGUGGGGUAACGGCCCACCGUGCCCAUAAUCAGUACAGGUUGUGAGAGCAAGAACCUGGAGACGGAAUCUGAGACAAGAUUCCGGGCCCUACGGGGCGCAGCAGGCGCGAAACCUUUACACUGCACGCACGUGCGAUAAGGGGACUCCGAGUGCGAGGGCAUAUCGUCCUCGCUUUCGUGUACCGUAGGGUGGUACACCAACAAGGGCUGGGCAAGACCGGUGCCAGCCGCCGCGGUAAUACCGGCAGCCCGAGUGAUGGCCGAUCUUAUUGGGCCUAAAGCGUCCGUAGCUGGCUGCGCAAGUCCGUCGGGAAAUCCACUCGCCCAGCGAGUGGGCGUCCGACGGAAACUGCACAGCUUGGGACCGGAAGGCUCGAAGGGUACGUUCGGGGUAGGAGUGAAAUCCUAUAAUCCCGCACGGACCACCGAUGGCGAAAGCACUUCGAGAAAACGGAUCCGACAGUGAGGGACGAACGCCAGGGUCUCCAACCGGAUUAGAUACCCGGGUAG
rnacentral:rRNA from 1 species